UUUUUGGAGAGUUUGAUCCUGGCUCAGAACGAACGCUGGCGGCGCGCCUAACACAUGCAAGUCUAACGAGAAACCCUGUAGAAAUAUGGGGCGGUAAAGUGGCGAACGGGUGAGUAAUGCGUGGGUAACCUGCCUCUAAGUUGGGGAUAACCCCGCGAAAGCGGGGCUAAUACCGAAUAAGACCACGUACCGAAAGGUAAGGGGUUAAAGGUGGCUGAUGACCCGCAAGGGUCAUGCUGCCGUUUGGAGAGGGGCUCACGUCCCAUCAGCUAGUUGGUAGGGUAAUGGCCUACCAAGGCAAUGACGGGUCGCUGGUCUGAGAGGACGACCAGCCACACUGGCACUGAGACACGGGCCAGACUCCUACGGGAGGCAGCAGUGAGGAAUAUUGGGCAAUGGGGGAAACCCUGACCCAGCGACGCCGCGUGAGGGAAGAAGGCCUUCGGGUUGUAAACCUCUUUUAGUUGGAAAGAAGCCCCUACUGUGAAUAGCAGUAGGGUUGACGGUACCAGCAGAAAAAGCCACGGCUAACUCUGUGCCAGCAGCCGCGGUAAGACAGAGGUGGCAAGCGUUGUUCGGAGUUACUGGGCGUAAAGCGCACGUAGGCGGCCAGAUAAGUCCUGCGUGAAAUCCCCCCGCUUAACGGGGGAACGGCAUAGGAUACUGUUUGGCUAGAGGGUUGGAGAGGAGAGUGGAAUUCCCGGUGUAGCGGUGAAAUGCGUAGAGAUCGGGAGGAAUACCUGUGGCGAAGGCGGCUCUCUGGACAACACCUGACGCUUAAGUACGAAAGCGUGGGGAGCAAACAGGAUUAGAUACCCUGGUAGUCCACGCCCUAAACGAUGGGCACU
rnacentral:rRNA from 1 species